CUUUUCAAGUGGAUUUAAAGAGCUGUCUUUUUGCCUCAGACGAAUCUAAAGGUUUAACACUAACCCAGUGUUUCCCAAACUGAGUCCUGGGGACCUCAAGGGGUGCUCGUCUUGGUUUUUGCCCUAGCACUUUGCUUAAUGAUAGGUUAUUUGAAUCUCUUCAGUGUCCCCAGGACCGAGUUUGGGAAAUGCUGCACUAACUUUUUUACUCAGAGAUAGCCAACCUUGACAAGAAGCACACUUUCAUUGGCCUUACCUGUUUCUCUUUGUAACCUAUUCACAGAAGGAUGAUGCUGCCGGAUUAUAAGUGAAUGGCUACUUUGUGUAUACUUCUAAAUAGUCCAGGGACAUGGAGCAGUGUCAACCCCAGUUCUGGGUCUACUUGUCCUUUUCAUCUGUUUGUGGUAGGAGAGAAACACAGAUGCUGCCACCAUAGCUCCAUGGGGGCCAUGGGAUCUCUGGUUCUCCGUUGGAUCCAGCUGCACACUGACAGACAGCUCCCUGGCUGGAUAUGGGAGCGAGUGUCAGAACAUGCUUGAGGUGAUUUUCGAGGAUUAGCAGACAGCUGGCGUGUGGGCAACCUUUGUUGCAGGGUCUGCACAACGCUAAAGUUGCUAACAAGGUCUUCUGGGCUCUGAAAGAAUUGAAUCUUCCCCACAGAAAAUGGACACAAUUCAAUGGAUAUCAAUCACAAAGAGGUAUACAGACGAGGUAUACAGACCAAUACCAAUUGGUAUUGGUAUGUUAUGCAGAUCAGAUUUACCAUCAUCCUACCUUACCUCUUCAAUGAAUAUCCCAUAGGCCUCUACAUUAUGGACAAG
rnacentral:lncRNA from 1 species